GAUGAACGCUGGCGGCGUGCUUAACACAUGCAAGUCGAACGGGAAACCUUUUAUUGAAGCUUCGGCAGAUUUAGCUGGCUUCUAGUGGCGGACGGGUUAGUCACGCGUGGGUAACCUGCCUUAUACAGGGAGAUAACAACCAGAACUGGUUGCUAAUACCGCAUAAGCGCACAGGACCGCAAGGUCCGGUGUGAAAAAAUCCGGUGGUAUCAGAUGGACCCGCGUUGGAUUAGCUAGUUGGCAGGGUAAUGGCCUACCAAGGCGACGAUGCAUAGCCGGCCUGGGGAGGGGACCCGCCAGAAUGGGACUAAGACACGGCCCAGACUCCUACGGAGGGGAGCAGUAGGGAAUAUAGCGCGAGGAAGGAAGACGUGAUGACGCGACGCCGCGUAAGGGGGGAAGUAUCUCGGAAUGUGAACUUCUAUCAGCAGGGAAGAGAGUGACGGUAACUGGCAAAGAAGCACCGGCUAACUACGUG
rnacentral:rRNA from 1 species